GGUUGUAGCUCAGUGGCAGAGCGCUUGCCUGGCAUGCGUGAGGCACUGGGUUCAAUCCUCAGCACCA
rnacentral:tRNA from 1 species